rnacentral:sRNA from 1 species
AAGUAAACCCAACCACAAAAAAAUGGUAUUGUUAAUUCUAAAAUGCAAGUAUAAGCAGAGAUUGUUCAACAGGUAGAGAGAGGGGCACAGUAAAUAUUUGCAUUUUUACACUGUCUUGCUUCAAGGAAUGAAAGCCAAGUAAAGAGUGUUGGAAACAACAGCAAGCUUGCAUAGGCGACAAAAUUCUUCAAACCUGAAUUCCAAGUCCUGUCAGCAUCCCCUCAGCAGAUGAGCUUUGAAGAAGACUGGGAUCCGAACACUGGCAGCGCCACAUGAAUGGGGUUCAGGACAUUGACAUUGCUUGUUUUUUUUAGCAUUCUGUGAAUUUCCUAUUACAUCAGUUUCAUGAUUCAGCAUUUUCCUUUUCAUUUAUUUACAGUAAUAUAUAGCGAGAUAACCUAAGCUCGAUCGCAGGAUCCUGGAACAUAAGGUAGGCUGGGCAGCAAGGGUGUAGCCUUCUGUAAAUUUACUAUUUGCUUAGAACUCAGGGACAAAUGGGAGAAAGCAAGUCAUCCAAAGAACUGGGAAAUAUCUCCUCACCUUACUCUGAGGGUCUUCAUUUCUGUGGUAUUUAAAAUAGGUUACUGCCAUCUAGUUUGUAAGUCUAACAGAAGGCAAGAAGUGUGUAAACUGCGAACUGAUGUGCAUAAGCCAAACGCAGCUCUGAAAUGACAACGUUCAAGACGCAACUAAAGUCACCACUCUGGCGUGAUUCAGAAGUGGGCGAACUCCACCGUCUCCUGUAAACAUGUAACAAGGAAGAGUCUCGAGAAUGUUCAUGGCGAUAGCAUAUGACUAAUCCACUGUAUCUACCCAAACGUCCAUCAACGAGGAUGUUGUAUGAAUGAACUCAUACGAUGGAAUGCUGUAGAGGAUUGGAAAUCAGUGUCCUGCAACUACAUACAGCAUCGCAGGAGGCGCAGCCCUGAGGACACCCAAGGCAAACAUCCCCAGCGCUUGGCACACCCAGAACCUCCACCCACCCUCCAUUCCUCGGGAAAACGCGGAUGAUUCCUUUCUCCUCAUCUCUCUCCGGGAUUCUGGGGGAAUGCAUCUAUGAGAAUCCUCUCGGCCUUCAGGGUUGACUCAGUCGUGACGAUGUCAUUUCUCCUCCUCUUGGUCCUUCUGGCCAGCUUCCCUUGCUCCUCUAAAACUUUCCAAGGCAGAGUUCUACCUGUUCUCACCGCAGAACUCCUCAAGGCCAGGGAGACCCUGAAAAGAGAGGAAGCCAAAGAUGCUGGAGAUUUGUGUCUAUUGCGUUUGGCUCCUCUGUGUCCGGGCUCAGCAGGGCAUAAAUAGAUAAUCAAAGAUUCUUUUCUUUACUCAGACUUCUAUAGUCAGAGGCCGAGUCUUCUCUUGACUUUAUUUUUUCACUUGAUCUUAGCCAAAAGACCGAGAAGCCAUUUGACUUUGCUUCUUUAAACUUUCUAGAUUGCACUGAGAAUUCCUCCAGUGUUAUUUGGAAAUGUUUAAAGCUUUUAAGUCAACAGCCCCAGCAGUUAAUCAGAAAGUUAUGUGUGCAUUAAUAUAUAUGCUGAGAUACUUAAAAAUACAACCUUUAUGAUCUUUUACAGCGUAUGUAUGUGUAUGUGCGUCCACAUGUGCCAAGAGAAAUACAUAAUUGCAUGCAUAACCGAUCUAAGGAGCUAGGCUAGGGGAUUGGCCAGCUCACUGGCAUAGGCCUGAGUUUAAUUCCAGGAGUAACUUACAUGAUGAAUAUCUCUCUCUCCCUCCCCUAGCCCUGUGUGUGUGUGUGUGUGUGUGUGUGUGUGUGUGUGUGUGUGUGUGUGUGUGUGUGUGUUUGAGUAUAAGCGGGUAGGUUCUGUGAUCCACUAAACAUGGUCCCUGCCCCUCUCCCCCUCCAGUCUCAUGGAUGUGGCUUCCCCAAGCCCAUCUAGAUCACAUGAAGUUUUCAACCCCGUUAACAGAAGAAAUUACAACGAUCCAAAGUUUUCACUGGAAGUUAAGUAAGUCUGGAUUCUUGGUACAUAGCAUGUUGAUCUCAUGCAUAGCAUCAGACAGUUUAUAGAACUGUAUUCUGUGCUUGAAAUCUGCAAAUCUGGAGUGUAUACCCAUAUACACAUGCAGUAGUAACUGGGCGGUAGGAUGGAUAUGUAAAUUAAUUUGAUUGUCCCAAUCAUUUCACAAUGUAUAUGUAAAUCAAAUUAUUGUGCUGUGCAUCUUGAAUAUACAUGUUUUAUUUGUCAAUUGUACUUCGCUGAAUCUGGAAAAAGUGAUAAUAAUUGUGGACAAUUUUGCAAUCAAUGUCUACUAGUGUGAAUGACAUUAGGAUUUAUUUUUUUUAAGAUGGGGAUAGCAUUGUGCUCAGGUAGGAUUUACAGGUAGCAUUCUCUGAGACCCUCAUGGAUUGCAACUGUUCACCUGUAAAGAAUCUAGAACUAGGUGGUGGGCUAGCUAUGGGCUGUAAGCUGUGAACUGUCCCCUCCUGGGAAACAGGAAAGUCAGAUGCGCCUGGUGCCUACAGCCAAACCCUGCAAUCCUACAUCACCUUGGGUUCUGCCACUUUAUCUCCAUGAGUUUUUGUUCAUACUCUUUCCUGGGAUCCCCACCUUCUCAGGAAGGCUUUCGUGAUCCUACCUGUCCUUCAUGCUGUUUCAUGUGGCCUCAAGUUCUCAUGUUGAAAACCGACUCUCAGUGCUGCAGGGCCGAGAGAGACCUUGAAGAGACAAUCGUGCUGCUCCUUCUGAGGCCCUGAGUUUGAUUCCCAACAUCUGGCAGCUCACAACCACCUGUGAGGGCAACAUCAGGGGAUGUGAUACCUUCUCCUGGCCUCCAGAGGUACCCGUCCUCAGGCAGCUCUCUUAUUAAGACCUUGGAAUCUAUUAAAAGUCUCAUUUUGAAACAAUAAAGCAAGAGGAAGAAUUUAUGAAUUGUAGAUCUUCAGCAUUAACCCAACAACAGCCUUGGAGAGGAAAAGGAUUCUUCAGAGAGAAAAAUUAAUUCCUGCCAAGAAAAAUCUAGGAACAUAAGUUAGCGAGCCCUACCAGAUGCCUCUGACUACGCUGAGCAGGAACGAGGUACAUUCUAAUUUCUCAGGAAAAAGAAUUAUAGGCUAGCCUGUGCAUCGGGCAGCGUCCAGAAGGUUCCUCGGCCAGGUUCUCAAUCACAUGUGUAGCCCACAGUGAUGUCCUCCACAUCCAAGACCCCCUCUGAUCUUUGGAUCUGAUCGGUUCUGCGUUUGUCACCACGACUGAUGCAUCCAGACAUAACUCACCUCCUCCGAUCACUGGCGUAAUCUGCAUAGUGGAAGGCCAUGUUGUUUGCAAGAUUGGCUGUAAUGAAGCCUCAUGUCAGUGCCUGCCUGUCUCUGCAAUGUGAUGGUGUUGUCUACCACUAAGUGGUGUGAUCUAUUGAUUCCUCCCUGCAAGAGUUGAGAAAAACACUUAUCAAAAGAAUGCUAUGGAUGUGAUAUUUUGGCAACAGCUAAGCUUAGGCUUUAAGAAACCUUGCAGCUUCCAGUCUCACUGUCUUAGAACACAGACCACAUCAGAUAAGAAAGCCCAGGCUAGCCAUCUUGAAGACCAGACCUCUCAUUGACAGAGAACAGCUAACAGCCAGCAACAACUGCUAGUUGUAUUUUUGAGGACCACAAAACCAACAGAAUGUAUGCAGCCACUCCUUGAUAUCCGUUUACACUGGACUCUCUAGUUCCUGUCACACUGCCAGAUGAGAGUCGCUGCCCAAGUGACCCCAGAAGCGACCAAGCAGAAGAGCCACCCCACUGAGCCCAGCGCAAGACACUGACCUAAGAAUCAUGAACAAAUAAAACCGCUACGAUUUUGAAGAACUCAAGUUGGAGCCGUUUGUUACACAGCAGUGGGUGGAUGAAGAACAAUGAUAGAUACUUUAUAUCUGACACAAUGGCUUUAGAAAACUGACUGUUCUAACCCCUCUAACAACAGCCUCUGGGAUGGUGUUAACUUGUGAGGCUAAGAUGUUUCUUCUUGUUUCCUCCCCACAGCACCUUGUCACCUCUCACAGCAAUUCACACUGAGACUGGACUGUUUAACUUUGCUUUGCCAAAAGGAAUAAUAAAGGUCCUGAAAUGAUUGCUCAGCAACUGGCUGGCCCCAGGACGACGAUGGGUGUGGAGAUGGAAGGCAUCCCCAGUGGACCUCCUCUGCCCAGAUGAGUUGUGCCUAUGCUACCCAGCUGCAGCGCCAUUGCCAAGGGCCUGGAGCCUUCUGGGAGGCCACUGGGACAGGGACCGUUGGACACGAAUAGGGAUCUCCAGAGAAAUGAAACCAAAGAUGCUGGUACCCAAGAGGACUGGUUCAAAACCCACUGAGGAUGUCCAACUAUGCAUCAGAUGAUGUAGCUUUGCAUAGAACCCACACACAUCCUGCUAUAUUCCUGAGUCACCUCUAGCUUGCCCACAAUAUCUAGUACAGGGUAAAGGCUAUGCAGAAAGUUGUUAUGGUGUAAUAUUGAGGGGCUAAUGACAAGAAGAAAAAAAUCUACGUGAUCCUUGAGCACCAUUGUCUCCUGAACAUUUUUCAUGUGUGGUUGGUUGAAUCUGGGUAUGAAGCCUGUGGCACAGACCCGCUCCAAGGCAGACUGGAAGGAUGGGGAUACAGGCAAGUGUUUCAUUUUGAGUUCAAAGAUUGUCUGUGUGGGAGGUCUUCCUUUUUCCAUUACAUCCUUCACCUAGUUGGAUGAGGCUCACCCAUGUUAUUGAGGAUAUUUCAUUUUCCCCAAUGGCUAUGGACUUGCACAUUAAUGUUAUCUAAGAAAUGGCUCAGAGGGGUUAUGAGUGUAACUCAGGUGAUAGAGUCCUUACUUAGCAUGUGCAGAGCUCUGGGUUCAAUGCCCUGGACUGCAUGUAACCCCCUUGUGGUAUAUACCUAUAAUCCUGGCACCGAGGAGGUGGAGAAAGAAAGAUCAGACAUUUAAGGACAUUCUCAGAAACAUAGCAAGUUCAAGAUAGCCCUGUGCUGCAUUAGAUUGUCUCAGAAAUCUAAACAAGCAAGAGAGAGAGGGGGGAGGAGAGAGAGAGAAGGAGGAGAAGGAAGAGGAGGAAGAAGAGGAG